GUGGAGUUGUGAUGGUUAAGGUAAGGGUUAGGUAUGGAGUUGUGAUGGUUAAGGUAAGGGUUAGGUAUGGAGUUGUGAUGGUUAAGGUUAGGGUUAGGUAUGGAGUUGUGAUGGUUAAGGUAAGGGUUAGGUAUGGAGUUGUGAUGGUUAAGGUAAGGGUUAGGUGUGGAGUUGUGAUGGUUAAGGUAAGGGUUAGGUAUGGAGUUGUGAUGGUUAAGGUAAGGGUUAGGUAUGGAGUUGUGAUGGUUAAGGUUAGGGUUAGGUAUGGAGUUGUGAUGGUUAAGGUAAGGGUUAGGUAUGGAGUUGUGAUGGUUAAGGUAAGGGUUAGGUAUGGAGUUGUGAUGGUUAAGGUAAGGGUUAGGUAUGGAGUUGUGAUGGUUAAGGUAAGGGGCUCGGCUGUGUAUUAUGUCACUAAGAUAGAAGUACGUGUGUGAGCUGCUGUUGUGUUCAGAUCCAUCUUGUUUUUUGAAACCAGAAGAAGCCUUAUUUGGAGGAUUGGGGGAGGAGCCUGACUGAGAGCUUGAGGACACGCCCAUCUGCACCAAUGAGGCGGAACUAUCUGUCAAUCACACUGUGCCCCCCCCCCCCCCCAGUACAUCCAGGGCUUUAUGGUCUGUUUGAGCCUGAAUGAUCAUAAUUCACUAAAUGAACAUCAGCUGUUUGAAGAAGACUUGAAACUAGAGACUGAGACAGAAACAGUUUACUGACGUUAUAAAGAGAGAAGUCACUUUCUAUAGAGACUACCAGAGGAGUCGCCCCCUGCUGGUCACUACACAGAAGACAGGUGUCAGGUCUGGACCUGCAGUCAACUUUCUGUUGUUGUGUAGAAAAGACAGUGUUCACCUUCAAUGAUGUGUUUCCGUGACAGCCCUCGCUCUGUCUCGGCCCUGUAAACACAAGCACAGUGAGACAGGUGCAGGACAGAUGUGAGACAGGUGCAGGACAGAUGUGAGACGGGUGCAGGACAGAUGUGAGACAGGUGCAGGACAGAUGUGAGACAGGUGCAGGACAGAUGUGAGACAGGUGCAGGACAGAUGUGAGACAGGUGCAGGACAGAUGUGAGACAGGUGGUUGACAAGUGAAGGACAGAUACUCACUGCCCCCCCCAGUAGAUCUUGGUGGUCACCACAUAACUGGACCUCCUGGUCGAGAGACACAAGCAAACACAGAGAGAGAGAGACCAUCAUUUACUCUGAAAGGAAGAGGCUCCCGUGUUGUCGACAGUAUAAAGACGAUCAGUGACUGGAUUUAAAAAGUUUCACCUCCAUCCUUUCUUCUUCAGGAUGUUCCCCAGAGUCGUCUCCGCCCUGAGACACAAACACAGGAGACACAUGAUUCCACAGAAGAAAUAAAACAAUCCUUUUCACAACACAACCCUCCAUCGUGUUUCACUAAGGAUGGAGGAUAUACACAGACGAUCUGAGUCGUCCCUCGUCAACAACCAGCAGAGGACAACCUCCCAGAAGAUUCCCGUCAUGCUCCUCAGGGUUCCUCCUGAAGUUCCCCGACAGUCAGAACCCAGAGGAACCCUCUCCAGACAGGCCGGUCAGACUGAGCUGUGUCCAGUACAUCAGCACACAAUCAACAUCCAGAACCUUUAUUAAUAAAUGUUCUAAUACAAUAAUCUAAUAACCUCAAAUAUAAACUUGACAAACUAAAUAAAAGGGUGAAACAGUU